rnacentral:rRNA from 1 species
CGUAGGGUGCGAGCGUUAAUCGGAAUUACUGGGCGUAAAGCGUGCGCAGGCGGUUUUGUAAGACAGGCGUGAAAUCCCCGGGCUCAACCUGGGAACUGCGCUUGUGACUGCAAGGCUAGAGUACGGCAGAGGGGGUGGAAUUCCACGUGUAGCAGUGAAAUGCGUAGAGAUGUGGAGGAACACCAAUGGCGAAGGCAGCCCCCUGGGUCGAUACUGACGCUCAUGCACGAAAGCGUGGGUAGCAAACAGGAUUAGAUACCCUGGUAGUCCACGCCCUAAACGAUGUCAACUAGGUGUUGGGUGGGUAAAACCAUUUAGUACCGGAGCUAACGCGUGAAGUUGACCGCCUGGGGAGUACGGCCGCAAGGCUG